rnacentral:rRNA from 1 species
AUUGAACGCUGGCGGCAGGCCUAACACAUGCAAGUCGAACGGUAACAGGAAGAAGCUUGCUUCUUUGCUGACGAGUGGCGGACGGGUGAGUAAUGUCUGGGAAACUGCCUGAUGGAGGGGGAUAACUACUGGAAACGGUAGCUAAUACCGCAUAACGUCGCAAGACCAAAGAGGGGGACCUUCGGGCCUCUAGCCAUCGGAUGUGCCCAGAUGGGAUUAGCUAGUAGGUGGGGUAACGGCUCACCUAGGCGACGAUCCCUAGCUGGUCUGGGAGGGUGAACAGCCACACUGGAACUGAGACACGGUCCAGAAUCCUACGGGAGGCAGCAGUGGGGAAUAUUGCAAAAUGGGCGCAAGCCUGAUGCAGCCAUGCCGCGUGUAUGAAGAAGGCCUUCGGGUUGUAAAGUACUUUCAGCGGGGAGGAAGGGAGUAAAGUUAAUACCUUUACUCAUUGACGUUACCCGCAGAAGAAGCACCGGCUAACUCCGUGCCAGCCGCCGCCGUAAUAC